UACGUAGGGUGCAAGCGUUAAUCGGAAUUACUGGGCGUAAAGCGCGCGUAGGUGGCUGAUUAAGUCGGAUGUGAAAUCCCUGGGCUUAACCUAGGAACUGCAUUCGAUACUGAUCGGCUAGAGUAUGAGAGAGGGAGGUAGAAUUCCACGUGUAGCGGUGAAAUGCGUAGAUAUGUGGAGGAAUACCAGUGGCGAAGGCGGCCUCCUGGCUUAAUACUGACACUGAGGUGCGAAAGCGUGGGGAGCAAACAGG
rnacentral:rRNA from 1 species